rnacentral:rRNA from 1 species
AGAGUUUGAUCCUGGCUCAGAACGAACGCUGGCGGCGCGCCUAAUACAUGCAAGUCGAGCGAGAAGGUGUAGCAAUACACUUGUAAAGCGGCGAACGGGUGAGGAAUACAUGGGUAAUCUACCAUCGAGUGGGGAAUAACCAACCGAAAGGUUGGCUAAUACCGCGUACGCUUCCGAAUCUUCUGGUUUGGAAGGAAAGCCGUGCUGUGAGUACGGCGCUCUUUGAUGAGCUCAUGUCCUAUCAGCUUGUUGGUAGGGUAACGGCCUACCAAGGCUUUGACGGGUAGCUGGUCUGAGAGGACGAUCAGCCACACUGGCACUGCGACACGGGCCAGACUCCUACGGGAGGCAGCAGUAAGGAAUAUUGCGCAAUGGGCGAAAGCCUGACGCAGCGACGCCGCGUGGGGGAUGAAGGUCUUCGGAUUGUAAACCCCUUUCGGGAGGGAAGAUGGAGCGAGCAAUCGUUCGGACGGUACCUCCAGAAGCAGCCACGGCCAACUUCGUGCCAGCAGCCGCGGUAAUACGAAGGUGGCAAGCGUUGUUCGGAUUCACUGGGCGUACAGGGUGUGUAGGCGGUUUGGUAAGCCUUCUGUUAAAGCUUCGGGCCCAACCCGGAAAGCGCAGAGGGUACUGCCAGGCUAGAGGGUGGGAGAGGAGCGCGGAAUUCCCGGUGUAGCGGUGAAAUGCGUAGAUAUCGGGAGGAAGGCC